rnacentral:tRNA from 1 species
GGAGAGGCCAGCCGACUGAUGGCGACGGCCGCUGCUUGGAGCGCAGUUGACGGACUUUGUCCGUUUGCGAGUUCGAACCUCGUCCUCUCCG